ACUCGCCGGCGACCGGCGCACGGGUGCGGAACGCGUAUGGAAUCUACCUCUUUCUGGGGAAUAUCCCAUGGAAACGUGGAUUAAUACCCCAUAGUAUUCAGAAAUCGCAUGAUUUUUGAAUUAAAGCUUUGGCGGAAAGAGAUGACCAUGCGUAUCAUUAGCUAGUAGGUGAGGUAACGGCUCACCUAGGCAACGAUGAUUAGGGGUCCUGAGAGGGAGGUCCCCCACACUGGUACUGAGACACGGACCAGACUCCUACGGGAGGCAGCAGUGAGGAAUAUUGGACAAUGGUCGAAAGACUGAUCCAGCCAUGCCGCGUGCAGGAUGAAUGCCCUAUGGGUUGUAAACUGCUUUUAUACGGGAAGAACACCACCCACGUGUGGGUGACUGACGGUACCGUAAGAAUAAGGACCGGCUAACUCCGUGCCAGCAGCCGCGGUAAUACGGAGGGUCCAAGCGUUAUCCGGAAUCAUUGGGUUUAAAGGGUCCGUAGGCGGGCUAUUAAGUCAGAGGUGAAAGUUUGCAGCUCAACUGUAAAAUUGCCUUUGAUACUGGUAGUCUUGAGUUAUAGUGAAGUGGUUAGAAUAUGUGGUGUAGCGGUGAAAUGCAUAGAUAUCACAUAGAAUACCAAUUGCGAAGGCAGAUCACUAACUAUAUACUGACGCUGAUGGACGAAAGCGUGGGGAGCGAACGGGAUUAGAUACCCCGGUAGUCCACGCCGUAAACGAUGGAUACUAGCUGUUGGAUUUUU
rnacentral:rRNA from 1 species